GGUAACUGUUAAGCCAUCAUCUUUUGAUUUAGCUACCUGAUUACUUAGCUACCACCAUUUAAAGGGAAGUUAAAAGAGAGGUUAAAAAAUAAGUUGAGUAAUAUAUCGGAACGUGCCCAGUAGUGGGGGAUAACUGCUCGAAAGAGCAGCUAAUACCGCAUAUGACCUGAGGGUGAAAGGGGGGGAUCGCAAGACCUCUCGCUAUCAGAGCGGCCGAUGUCGGAUUAGCUAGUUGGUGGGGUAAAGGCCCACCAAGGCGACGAUCCGUAGCUGGUCUGAGAGGACGACCAGCCACACUGGGACUGAGACACGGCCCAGACUCCUACGGGAGGCAGCAGUGGGGAAUUUUGGACAAUGGGGGCAACCCUGAUCCAGCCAUGCCGCGUGUGCGAAGAAGGCCUUCGGGUUGUAAAGCACUUUUGUCAGGAACGAAAAGUUUCGCGCUAAUACCGCGGGACGAUGACGGUACCUGAAGAAUAAGCACCGGCUAACUACGUGCCAGCAGCCGCGGUAAUACGUAGGGUGCAAGCGUUAAUCGGAAUUACUGGGCGUAAAGCGUGCGCAGGUGGUUGUGUAAGACAGAUGUGAAAUCCCCGGGCUUAACCUGGGAACUGCAUUUGUGACUGCACAGCUAGAGUGUGUCAGAGGGGGGUGGAAUUCCACGUGUAGCAGUGAAAUGCGUAGAUAUGUGGAGGAACACCAAUGGCGAAGGCAGCCCCCUGGGAUAACACUGACGCUCAUGCACGAAAGCGUGGGGAGCAAACAGGAUUAGAUACCCUGGUAGUCCACGCCCUAAACGAUGUCAACUGGUUGUUGGGCCAAUACUGGCUUGGUAACGUAGCUAACGCGUGAAGUUGACCGCCUGGGGAGUACGGCCGCAAGGUUAAAACUCAAAGGAAUUGACGGGGACCCGCACAAGCGGUGGAUGAUGUGGAUUAAUUCGAUGCAACGCGAAAAACCU
rnacentral:rRNA from 1 species